AACAUCAAACAUCCAAACCCUUAUUUGAACUCCGCAGUGGACAUGGACUCAUUAGUCAGUGGUCAAUAGGCGAUGUAGGAGAUGGUGCUGCUUGAGCUCCACAUGGGCAUGAUUAACAGGGAACACGCCUACUGAUAGAAAUACAUAUCUAUAAUAAAAUGAUUCACAGGGAACACGCCUACUGAUAGAAAUACAUAUCUAUAAUAAAAUGAUUCACAGGGAACACGCCUACUGAUAGAAAUAUAUAUCCAUAAUAAAAUGAUUCACAGGGAACACGCCUACUGAUAGAAAUACAUAUCUAUAAUAAAAUGAUUCACAGGGAACACGCCUACUGAUAGAAAUAUAUAUCUAUAAUAAAAUGAUUCACAGGGAACACGCCUACUGAUAGAAAUAUAUAUAUCUAUAAUAAAAUGAUUCACAGGGAACACGCCUACUGAUAGAAAUAUAUAUCUAUAAUAAAAUGAUUCACAGGGAACACGCCUACUGAUAGAAAUAUAUAUCCAUAAUAAAAUGAUUCACAGGGAACACGCCUACUGAUAGAAAUAUAUAUCGAUAAUAAAAUGAUUCACAGGGAACACGCCUACUGAUAGAAAUACAUAUCUAUAAUAAAAUGAUUCACAGGGAACACGCCUACUGAUAGAAAUAUAUAUCUAUAAUAAAAUGAUUCACAGGGAACACGCCUACUGAUAGAAAUAUAUGUCCAUAUGAACUAUUAUAUGAACUAUAAGCCCUAUGUUCCUCUUACUCAUAGCUUAUAUCUCAUUAAUGCCCUAAGUUCCUAUUACUCAUAGCUUAUAUCUCAUUAAUGCCCUAAGUUCCUGUUACUCAUAGCCUAUAUCUCAUUAAAGACUAUAAAGCCUAUGUUCCUCUUCAAAUCUCCCUGAAACACAGCAUAAAUGACUCAUUGGUUAAUUAGAAUGCAUACUUUCAAUUCUAUAAAUAUGCAUCACAUUCAAUUAAAAUCCGAGGCGUUGCAGCAGUAAGCCUUAUCGUGCAUAUCUUGGUAAUAUAACUGGAUACUGCUUAUCGUGUAAUUAAUCUCAAAGAUUGAGAUUACGGGCGACACAGAUACACGCACGCACGCUCACUCUUACGACAAUGGCUGCCGGAUCAUCAG
ensembl:lncRNA